rnacentral:lncRNA from 1 species
AUGUGGACGCAUGGUGUUAACUGGAAAGCUGCAGCUGAAGUUAUGGUGCAAGGAAUGGGCAGGACCUGCCCAGCCAAUGUCAAAAUCGAGGCACGACUGACACCAGAUGCUGACCCAAAGGUAACUACUCAGGGGCAGGACGCUGAUCUGGGACACCUGCAGGAAGUCCCCAUUCCAGAGCAGGCCAGGACGAGUUUCUGUGAGAGCAAAGCAUCAGUGAGCUCUCGGAAGACUCUUUGCUGCUGUCCCGUCCUGGCAACCAGUUCUCAGGCUUGUGGGCCAGGUUUCCAGGCCAGGCUUGGCCAUCUUUCUCCCUCUCCGGACCCGAAGUCCUUGAGUGAGGCUUCAAGGAUGUUCCUCCCACUCCCUGAGCUACACUCACUGCAAGAGGCCACAGAGAAAACACAGCAUGCCAUCCACAGGCUCUGCAAGCUGGCAUUUGUGGUGGGUACGGAGAUCUGGAAAGCCGAGCAGUGGUUGCUUGGGGGAGGGGAGGGGGGAGGGCUUGAGCAAAC